rnacentral:rRNA from 1 species
UACGGGGGGGGCAAGCGUUGUUCGGAAUUACUGGGCGUAAAGGGCUCGUAGGUGGCCAACUAAGUCAGACGUGAAAUCCCUCGGCUUAACCGGGGAACUGCGUCUGAUACUGGAUGGCUUGAGUUUGGGAGAGGGAUGCGGAAUUCCAGGUGUAGCGGUGAAAUGCGUAGAUAUCUGGAGGAAUACCGGUGGCGAAGGCGGCAUCCUGGACCGAGAUUGACGCUGAGGAGCGAAAGCUAGGGGAGCAAACGGG